rnacentral:rRNA from 1 species
GACGAAGGUGGCGAGCGUUACUCGGAAUUACUAGGCGUAAAGCGUGGGUAGGUGGUUUGGUAAGUCUGUUGUGAAAGCUCCCGGCUUAACUGGGAGAGGCCAAUGGAAACUACCAGACUUGAAUGUGGGAGAGGUCACUGGAAUUCCCGGUGUAGCGGUGAAAUGCGUAGAGAUCGGGAGGAACACCAAUGGCGAAGGCAGGUGACUGGACCACUAUUGACACUCAGCCACGAAAGCUAGGGGAGCAAAC